CUGCUGCCUCCCGUAGGAGUUCGGGCCGUGUCUCAGUCCCAAUGUGGCCGUCCACCCUCUCAGGCCGGCUACUGAUCGUCGCCUUGGUGGGCCGUUACCCCGCCAACAAGCUAAUCAGACGCGGGUCCAUCUUACACCACCGGAGUUUUUCACACAAAUCCAUGCGGCUUCGUGCGCUUAUGCGGUAUUAGCACCUAUUUCUAAGUGUUAUCCCCAGUGUAAGGCAGGUUACCCACGCGUUACUCACCCGUCCGCCACUAAGUA
rnacentral:rRNA from 1 species